UGUAAAAUUUUUCCAGGAUUUCACAAGAUAUAACUGUAAUAUUUCACAGUUAAUUACAUUAUUACCACUUCACAGGCUUUAACUGUGAUAAUUCACAAUAUAAUACCGUAUUUAGACUUUUACUGUGAAAAUAAUGCAGGCGCGGUGCUUUUACAAGAAACUACUGUGAAUGCCGUCUUUUUUGAGUGGCAACUGCGGCAGCGUCAUCAGAGCGUCAUCAGAGCUCUCUGAUCUACGUGGUCUCAUUCGGUGGAUUCAGACAGCGCAUUUUCUACAUUGACCGACGAUAAAUAAAGUUAUAAGGUGCUUCUUGGGCAUCAACCCAGAGCGAGGCACAAAAUCUAAGAGGCAGAGAGGUCACAUGAACCAGCAAGUCUGCACUCUUAUCAGGAAGCUCAUUGACUUCGAAUGGAUGUCAAUCUAAUUGGAUAGAACCCACACUAUGCAGGUGCCAGCUGCGAGGGAAGGAGCGAGAUACCUGCGACCCUCUCUAUUCCCACCUUUUUGUCUUUUCUUACAUCUCUCUCCCUCACUCUCUCUUCUCUGUCUCCUUCUUUCUCUUUUGACACACAUUCCUGUUACCCAGUGUCAAUCCCUGUUGCCCAGUGUUUUAUUCAUGUAAUUAAAUUGUAUUUUACUUCUAAAAAAUAAAAGUUAUGUCACUGUUUU